UGAAGAGUUUGAUCAUGGCUCAGAUUGAACGCUGGCGGCAGGCCUAACACAUGCAAGUCGAACGGUAACAGGAAGCAGCUUGCUGCUUUGCUGACGAGUGGCGGACGGGUGAGUAAUGUCUGGGAAACUGCCUGAUGGAGGGGGAUAACUACUGGAAACGGUGGCUAAUACCGCAUAACGUCGCAAGACCAAAGAGGGGGACCUUCGGGCCUCUUGCCAUCAGAUGUGCCCAGAUGGGAUUAGCUUGUUGGUGAGGUAACGGCUCACCAAGGCGACGAUCCCUAGCUGGUCUGAGAGGAUGACCAGCCACACUGGAACUGAGACACGGUCCAGACUCCUACGGGAGGCAGCAGUGGGGAAUAUUGCACAAUGGGCGCAAGCCUGAUGCAGCCAUGCCGCGUGUAUGAAGAAGGCCUUCGGGUUGUAAAGUACUU
rnacentral:rRNA from 4 species